AACGUAGGACACAAGCGUUAUCCGGAGUUACUGGGCGUAAAGGGUGCGUAGGCGGGUCUUUAAGUCAGGGGUGAAAUCCUGGAGCUCAACUCCAGAACUGCCUUUGAUACUGAAGAUCUUGAGUUCGGGAGAGGUGAGUGGAACUGCGAGUGUAGAGGUGAAAUUCGUAGAUAUUCGCAAGAACACCAGUGGCGAAGGCGGCUCACUGGCCCGAUACUGACGCUGAGGCACGAAAGCGUGGGGAGCAAACAGG
rnacentral:rRNA from 1 species